rnacentral:rRNA from 1 species
UUUUUCAUACAUACUUGCCUUAUAGCCUGAUCUCGUCAGAUCUCGGAAGCUAAGCAAGGUCAGGCCUGGUUAGUACUCGGAAGGCAGACCGCAGGGAAUUCCAGAUGCCAUAG